rnacentral:rRNA from 1 species
UGAUCCUGGCUCAGAUUGAACGCUGGCGGCAGGCUUAACACAUGCCAGUCGAGCGGGGGAAGGUAGCUUGCUACUGGACCUAGCGGCGGACGGGUGAGUAAUGCUUAGGAAUCUGCCUAUUAGUGGGGGACAACAUCUCGAAAGGGAUGCUAAUACCGCAUACGUCCUACGGGAGAAAGCAGGGGAUCUUCGGACCUUGCGCUAAUAGAUGAGCCUAAGUCGGAUUAGCUAGUUGGUGGGGUAAAGGCCUACCAAGGCGACGAUCUGUAGCGGGUCUGAGAGGAUGAUCCGCCACACUGGGACUGAGACACGGCCCAGACUCCUACGGGAGGCAGCAGUGGGGAAUAUUGGACAAUGGGGGGAACCCUGAUCCAGCCAUGCCGCGUGUGUGAAGAAGGCCUUAUGGUUGUAAAGCACUUUAAGCGAGGAGGAGGCUACUUUAGUUAAUACCUAGAGAUAGUGGACGUUACUCGCAGAAUAAGCACCGGCUAACUCUGUGCCAGCAGCCGCGGUAAUACAGAGGGUGCGAGCGUUAAUCGGAUUUACUGGGCGUAAAGCGUGCGUAGGCGGCUUAUUAAGUCGGAUGUGAAAUCCCCGAGCUUAACUUGGGAAUUGCAUUCGAUACUGGUGAGCUAGAGUAUGGGAGAGGAUGGUAGAAUUCCAGGUGUAGCGGUGAAAUGCGUAGAGAUCUGGAGGAAUACCGAUGGCGAAGGCAGCCAUCUGGCCUAAUACUGACGCUGAGGUACGAAAGCAUGGGGAGCAAACAGGAUUAGAUACCCUGGUAGUCCAUGCCGUAAACGAUGUCUACUAGCCGUUGGGGCCUUUGAGGCUUUAGUGGCGCAGCUAACGCGAUAAGUAGACCGCCUGGGGAGUACGGUCGCAAGACUAAAACUCAAAUGAAUUGACGGGGGCCCGCACAAGCGGUGGAGCAUGUGGUUUAAUUCGAUGCAACGCGAAGAACCUUACCUGGCCUUGACAUACUAGAAACUUUCCAGAGAUGGAUUGGUGCCUUCGGGAAUCUAGAUACAGGUGCUGCAUGGCUGUCGUCAGCUCGUGUUGUGAGAUGUUGGGUUAAGUCCCGCAACGAGCGCAACCCUUUUCCUUACUUGCCAGCAUUUCGGAUGGGAACUUUAAGGAUACUGCCAGUGACAAACUGGAGGAAGGCGGGGACGACGUCAAGUCAUCAUGGCCCUUACGGCCAGGGCUACACACGUGCUACAAUGGUCGGUACAAAGGGUUGCUACACAGCGAUGUGAUGCUAAUCUCAAAAAGCCGAUCGUAGUCCGGAUUGGAGUCUGCAACUCGACUCCAUGAAGUCGGAAUCGCUAGUAAUCGCGGAUCAGAAUGCCGCGGUGAAUACGUUCCCGGGCCUUGUACACACCGCCCGUCACACCAUGGGGGUUUGUUGCGCCAGAAGUAGCUAGCCUAACGGCAAAGAGGGCGGUUACCACGGUGUGGCCGACGACUGGGGUGAAGUCGUAACAAGGUAGCCGUA